rnacentral:rRNA from 1 species
UACGAAGGGUGCAAGCGUUACUCGGAAUUACUGGGCGUAAAGCGUGCGUAGGUGGUUUGUUAAGUCUGUUGUGAAAGCCCCGGGCUCAACCUGGGAAUGGCAAUGGAUACUGGCAGGCUAGAGUGCGGUAGAGGGUAGUGGAAUUCCCGGUGUAGCGGUGAAAUGCGUAGAUAUCGAGAGGAACACCUGCGGCGAAGGCGGGUAGCUGGGCCGACACUGACGCUGAGGCGCGAAAGCCAGGGGAGCGAACGGG